UACGUAGGGUGCGAGCGUUAAUCGGAAUUACUGGGCGUAAAGCGUGCGCAGGCGGUUUGCUAAGACCGAUGUGAAAUCCCCGGGCUCAACCUGGGAACUGCAUUGGUGACUGGCAGGCUAGAGUAUGGCAGAGGGGGGUAGAAUUCCACGUGUAGCAGUGAAAUGCGUAGAGAUGUGGAGGAAUACCGAUGGCGAAGGCAGCCCCAUGGGCCAAUACGGACGCGCAUGCAAGAAAGCGGGGGGAGCACACAGGCUGCGAUAACCCCGUAGUCC
rnacentral:rRNA from 1 species